GACGGGGAGAACGAUGCUAGCAAACAGGGGAAAAAAAAGGCAUGGUGGUAAUAUGAAGAGAGUAUAUAUAUAUAUAUAUAUAGAUGAUAUGCAUU
rnacentral:ribozyme from 1 species